CCUCGCCCUGUCCCUUCCCUCAGUAAAAUCCCGGUGCGACCCGGGCCCUCCUUCCCGGGGCGGGGACGGCUGACGGGAGCCGAGCGGGAGGUGCUCGCUGUAGAAGCCCUAGGCAAUGGAGCAGAUCAUGAAGACGUUGAACCAGCCCAGAGGCAAGACCUGUAGUCACGACUCCUGGGGCUUCUCCAUGAAAAAUUUGAUGAACCCUCCACCCAGACCUGCCAUGAAGCGCUUCAGCUACCAAACCCUCUCCUUGUACGUAAUGCUUCCUUCCCAUCACCAUUGCCCUCUGGAAUAAAGAGUACCAAGUGUCCUCUGCAGGUUCCGAUGGACUGCCAUAUCUUCCAUGUGCACCUGAAUAUGCUGUCCACUGCUCCGUCUGAGAUUUUUAAGACCUUUAGCAAGCUAGGACCAGAAGAAGGCUUCCUUAACC